AAAUCUCCCUGAUAAGCAAAGGAAAACAGUUAGAUAUAUUUUAUCAGACCUGAAAGGUUUCUUCUGUGUCUUUGGGGAAACUGCCUCUGUCCCAGUGAAAGCAGUAUAUGGGUCACUGGAGAAAAAGGGUAUACGUGGUCACUAGAGACUUCAUAGGAUCUUAGAAUCAUAGGUUGGAAAAGACCUCUGAGAUCAUCUAGUUUAACCGUUAACCAUCCAUCACCAUGCCCACUAACCAUGACCCUCAGUGCCACAUCUACCUACCAAUCAUCUGACUGCAGAACAAAGUGUGGCUGAUCUGGGGGGUCGGCAAAACCAAAAACAGAAACUACUUCAGAAAAGACUCCUAUUUCACUCAAAAUGAGAGAUGGAAGAAACACUAGCUCUUCUGCUCACCUUGUACAUCUACAAUGACAGAGAGGAGUCUGUCUCUUGUGUGCCAUAUGGAAAACUGGGCGCUUGAACAUGAGAGGAUGGCAAAGCUGAAAGCGGUUGUUGCAAAAGGAGGUGCAAACCAUGCUCUGAAAGGCUGA
rnacentral:lncRNA from 1 species